GAUACUUUGGCCUAGUGGUUAACGCUGCGGCCUGCUAAGCUGUUGGGCUAUGUCCGCGAGGGUGCGAAUUCCUCCGGUGUCG
rnacentral:tRNA from 1 species